rnacentral:rRNA from 1 species
AGCAGCCGCGGUAAUUCCAGCUCCAAUAGCGUAUAUUAAAGUUGUUGCAGUUAAAAAGCUCGUAGUUGAAUUUCGGGAUUUAUCCGUCGGUCGGGCUUUCGGGUCUGUACUGGCGUGAUGGAUUCCUACCUUCUGAAUAACCGGCAUGUCAUUAAUUUGGUGCGCCGGGGAAGCAGGACUGUUACCUUGAAAAAAUUAGAGUGCUUAAAGCAGGCUUAUGCCUGAAUACAUUAGCAUGGAAUAAUGAAAUAGGACGGCAUGGUUCUAUUUUGUUGGUUUCUAGGAUCAACGUAAUGAUUAAUAGGGAUAGUUGGGGGCAUUAGUAUUCAAUUGUCAGAGGUGAAAUUCUUGGAUUUAUUGAAGACUAACUACUGCGAAAGCAUUUGCCAAGGAUGUUUUCAUUAAUCAAGAACGAAAGUUAGGGGAUCGAAGACGAUCAGAUACCGUCGU